rnacentral:rRNA from 1 species
UACGUAGGGUGCAAGCGUUGUCCGGAAUUAUUGGGCGUAAAGAGCUUGUAGGCGGUCUGUCGCGUCUGCUGUGAAAAUCCGGGGCUCAACCCCGGACUUGCAGUGGGUACGGGCAGACUAGAGUGUGGUAGGGGAGACUGGAAUUCCUGGUGUAGCGGUGAAAUGCGCAGAUAUCAGGAGGAACACCGAUGGCGAAGGCAGGUCUCUGGGCCGAAACUGACGCUGAGGAGCGAAAGCGUGGGGAGCAAACAGG